GCUCAGCUGGUAGAGCA
rnacentral:tRNA from 1 species